rnacentral:rRNA from 1 species
GACGAACGCUGGCGGCGUGCUUAACACAUGCAAGUCGAACGGAAAGGCCCUGCUUUUGUGGGGUGCUCGAGUGGCGAACGGGUGAGUAACACGUGGGUAACCUGCCCUUGACUUUGGGAUAACUUCAGGAAACUGGGGCUAAUACCGGAUAGGAGCUCCUGCUGCAUGGUGGGGGUUGGAAAGUUUCGGCGGUUGGGGAUGGACUCGCGGCUUAUCAGCUUGUUGGUGGGGUAGUGGCUUACCAAGGCUUUGACGGGUAGCCGGCCUGAGAGGGUGACCGGCCACAUUGGGACUGAGAUACGGCCCAGACGCCUACGGGAGGCAGCAGUGGGGAAUAUUGCACAAUGGGCGGAAGCCUGAUGCAGCAACGCCGCGUGCGGGAUGACGGCCUUCGGGUUGUAAACCGCUUUCGCCUGUGACGAAGCGUGAGUGACGGUAAUGGGUAAAGAAGCACCGGCUAACUACGUG